rnacentral:rRNA from 1 species
UACGAAGGGGGCUAGCGUUGCUCGGAGUUACUGGGCGUAAAGGGCGCGUAGGCGGGUGUUUAAGUCAGAGGUAAAAGCCCGGGGCUCAACCCCGGAACCGCCUUUGAUACUGGACAUCUUGAGUACGGGAGAGGUGUGUGGAACUCCGUGUGUAGAGGUGAAAUUCGUACAUAUUCGGAAGAACACCAGUGGCGAAGGCGACACACUGGCCCGUUACUGACGCUGAGGCGCGAAAGCGUGGGGAG